GUAGGUGGCAAGCGUUGUCCGGAGUUAUUGGGCGUAAAGCGCGCGCAGGCGGUCCUUUAAGUCUGAUGUGAAAGCCCACGGCUCAACCGUGGAGGGUCAUUGGAAACUGGGGGACUUGAGUACAGAAGAGGAAAGCGGAAUUCCACGUGUAGCGGUGAAAUGCGUAGAGAUGUGGAGGAACACCAGUGGCGAAGGCGGCUUUCUGGUCUGUAACUGACGCUGAGGCGCGAAAGCGUGGGGAGCAAACAGGGAUUAGAUACCCUGGUAGUCCACGCCGUAAACGAUGAGUGCUAAGUGUUAGGGGGUUUCCGCCCCCUUAGUGCUGCAGCUAACGCAUUAAGCACUCCGCCUGGGGAGUACGGCCGCAAGGCUG
rnacentral:rRNA from 1 species